rnacentral:rRNA from 1 species
GAUGAACGCUGGCGGCGUGCUUAACACAUGCAAGUCGAGCGAGUGAGUUCUUCGGAACGAUCUAGCGGCGGACGGGUGAGUAACACGUGGGCAACCUGCCUCAUAGAGGGGAAUAGCCUCCCGAAAGGGAGAUUAAUACCGCAUAAAAUUAUCGAGUGGCAUCACAUGAUAAUCAAAGGAGUAAUCCGCUAUGAGAUGGGCCCGCGGCGCAUUAGCUAGUUGGUGAGGUAACGGCUCACCAAGGCGACGAUGCGUAGCCGACCUGAGAGGGUGAUCGGCCACAUUGGGACUGAGACACGGCCCAGACUCCUACGGGAGGCAGCAGUGGGGAAUAUUGCACGAUGGGGGAAACCCUGAUGCAGCAACGCCGCGUGUGCGAUGAAGGCCCUCGGGUUGUAAAGCACUUUUGGCGGGGAAUACGAUGAAGGUACCCGCAGAAUAAGUCACGGCUAACUUCGUGCCAGCAGCCGCAGUAA